UACGUAGGAGGCAAGCGUUGUCCGGAAUUACUGGGCGUAAAGCGCGUGUAGGUGGUGGGACAAGUCUGCUGUGAAAGCGCCUGGCUUAACCGGGCGAGGUCGGCGGAAACUGUUCGACUCGAGGACGGUAGAGGGGGGUGGAAUUCCCGGUGUAGUGGUGAAAUGCGUAGAGAUCGGGAGGAACACCUGUGGCGAAGGCGGCCCCCUGGGCCAAUACUGACGCCCAUGCCACGAAAGACGUGGGGGAGCAAACGG
rnacentral:rRNA from 1 species